UUCAAAUCCCUAAUCUCUCUUCUUCUGCAAUUUUCCAGUGCAUAAACGGGGAUUUCAAAUCCCUUUUAUUGUCUUUUCCAAACCCUAUAUAGGAGUUUGACAAUUCCUGUUUGCGAUCAAGGGCGACUGCCUUGAGCAUGAACUCCUCACCAUUGUCAAAGGUGAUAUUUCUCCAGCAGGUGGUUCGGGCUCUCAUUGCCAUCCACUUUUUCGCCGAUUGGAACGGCAGAUCAGUGUCAUCAUUUGGAGAAAGGGGGGUUUUUGAAACCCUAGCAUGGUAGGAAGCGUGGAAGUAGAGUACGCUCGAUGGAGCAGGGGUGGAAGUCGAGACUGGGAGCAACCGUAGAAGAUGGUGGCCGAAGGUCUGGAUCGAGGAUUUGAGUAAGCCAUGUCAUAGGAUGACGGAUUUAAUGGCUGCCUGAGGCGCAUGGGUCGCUGAUUUCUGAGGGUUGCCGGAUUUAAUGGAGGAUCGAAGACAGAAGCCAACAAAGAAGAAGGCCCUGUGAUUUUGCGAUCUGCGACGGUGGUGGACUGACAAUCAGAGCAGAGCUCCGCUCUUUGUUAUUGUAGGUGCGGGUGAAGGCCCUGUUCUUGCACCACCUCAGGAAGACUUGUUGAGUUGACUCGAUGCGGUCCAUUUGCUAGCUGUGACAACACUUCAUAUUUACGAUUCACGGUCUUUCAUUGGUGGAAAAGUGGGCUCAUUUGUAGAUAAGCGUGGGAAUCACAUCGAGAUGGGACUUCAUGUCUUCUUCGGUUGCUACAGCAACCUCUUUCGCCUGAUGAAAAAGGUGAAAUCCCCAUCCUUUGUCAUAAGACUCAUAAUCUCUGGACCCAGUAAUGUGAACCAUCUCCAGUGAGUUGAGGCAUAUCUUCAUCACUCAAUUUUGAUUUAUGAAAGCCGGGGUGGAUUAUUCCUUGAAGGAAUGACUGUUUGUUAUCUGAGAAUUGAUGUAUGCUCAAUAGUCCCAAACCAAAUUGUACUUUACCGAAAAUUUUCUACGGGGAGAUGGAUAGUAUAAUUAGGAGUCAGUUCUAUCCGUUUGAUUCCCUUUCUAUUGUUUUGUGCAUUGAUUUGCUUUGGAUUUGCUCACAACUCUAUUUGGUUUUUUUUGCUUAGGAUUGGAUCCUGAGAUAUUGAUGGGUUAAUUGACAUUGGAGUGAUUAU